rnacentral:lncRNA from 1 species
UCCAUGAGCAACCACUCACUCUGGAAAGUCAAGCUGUCUUGGAAGAGGUGCUGGAAAGGAUGGACAUGCUGCUCAAGGCUCUGGAGACACGGCUGGGCACGGUGGAGUCGCGUGUGGCUGCCCUGCACAGGCAGGUCUGACAGGAGCCUGCUGAGCUGCAGGAGCAGGGCACAGUUGAGUGUAGUGUUAUCUUCUUAAUUCAAAAAACAUUUGCUGUAUGGAAAAAGCAUCUUGCCUUGUGAAAGGACAGGUAGGAGCUGUUGCAAUGGCCAGUGCCCUGUGGCACACACACCUGGCCAGGCCCCUGUGGGUGCUGCUGCUGUGCCUGGUGGUGAGGUGAUAACCAGCUGGGCUUUGCUGCCACAGUCAAACCCAGCAGCUUUCCUGUGAAUCCCAGCAAAAUGGGCCCAAGGGCUCUGUCCCUCAGCCUCUGC